rnacentral:lncRNA from 1 species
GGCAAAUUUUGGCUAAAACAUACAUCAGAUCAUACGUUCACAAGAAAUCAAAUAAAGUAUCAGUUUAGCAGCAAAAGUAAACAUACACACAAACACACAUGCGCUUGUGCUCAGAACACAUCACCUCCCUCUUCAGCUAGUCCACACCAAGCACCAAUCUGCUUCACAUAGACAUAACACUUAUCCCUCUUUGUAUCAAACAUAACAUCAAACAUCAUCUAUAGCUUAG